rnacentral:lncRNA from 1 species
AGAAGGCUGACGUCACCCAUUGUACACGCCCUCAUAGAAUUUCAAAUUGAAUUCAUAUACCUAAUUCUGUGUCAGCCAAACAAGUUGAUUUCUGGAAUCCAAAAUGAGUUCCAUGAUUCUAGACUCAAAUAAUGGGUGUCAAACGAGUUGUUAUACUUCAACACGAAUUUCAUUUUUUUUUUCUUACCUUGAGUUGUUUUACCAAAACUGAAUUUAACCUUGAGUUGUUUUACACAAAUUUGAAUAAAUAGUUUUUGUUGUUAUAGGAUGUUGGGAGCACAUUAUUUAUCAUUAUUUAUCGACUGUUUUGUUAUAGUUUUUGUUUUACACACGCAUGUCGUUCUCCCUAAACACAAAUUCUUUCAACAUGAGCAUUGUCGAAGUUCCAACUUCGUCAUUGACGCCAUCUGUGGAAGUGGACGUGCGUUGAAUUUACGGUUCCAGCGGCCGCGUCUAAAUCGGCGCGUGGGGCUCCUCGCCAAUUUUCUUCGUCUGCAGGCACAACCCUUCCUGCCGCAAGCUCGAAGGCUCCCGACCUGCCACACUAUUGGAUGGAUUUUCUGGC